CAAAAAAAAAAAAAAAAAAAAAAAAAAAAAAAAAAAAAAAAAAAAAAAAAAAAAAAAAAAAACGCAAAAAAAAAAAAAAAAAAAAAAAAAAAAAAAAAAAAAAAAAAAAAAAAAAAAAAAAAAAAAAAAAAAAAAAAAUCACUACAAAGCGCAAAAAAAAAAAAAAAAAAAAAAAAAAAAAAAAAAAAAAAAAAAAAAAAAAAAAAAAAAAAAAAA